GUACGGGAGGCAGCAGUGGGGAAUUUUGGACAAUGGGGGCAACCCUGAUCCAGCCAUUCCGCGUGAGUGAAGAAGGCCUUCGGGUUGUAAAGCUCUUUUGUCCGGAACGAAAUGGCGCGCGUGAACAUCGCGCGCUUCUGACGGUACCGGAAGAAUAAGCACCGGCUAACUACGUGCCAGCAGCCGCGGUAAUACGUAGGGUGCGAGCGUUAAUCGGAAUUACUGGGCGUAAAGCGUGCGCAGGCGGUUUUGUAAGCCAGAUGUGAAAUCCCCGGGCUUAACCUGGGAAUGGCAUUUGGGACUGCAAGGCUUGAGUGCGGCAGAGGAGACUGGAAUUCCUGGUGUAGCAGUGAAAUGCGUAGAUAUCAGGAGGAACACCGAUGGCGAAGGCAGGUCUCUGGGCUGACACUGACGCUCAUGCACGAAAGCGUGGGGAGCAAACAGGAUUAGAUACCCUGGU
rnacentral:rRNA from 1 species